CCAGCACCAGACUGGCCGAAGACGAAGUUGUCAGGCCUGAAAAUCUGACCAUAAGGACCAGAUCUGAUGCUAUCCAUGGUACCAGGUUCCAAAUCCAUGAGCACAGCACGAGGGACAAAGCGACCACAACUGGCCUCAUUGUAGUAUACAUUGAUUCUUUCCAGCUGAAGAUCUGAGCAGCCCUGGUGGUAGCGACCAGUUGAGUCUAUGCCGUGCUCCGCGCAGACAACUUCCCAGAACUUAGCUCCGAUUUGGUUACCGCAUUGGCCCCCUUGGAUGUGUAGG
rnacentral:misc_RNA from 1 species